UACGUAGGGGGCUAGCGUUGUCCGGAAUCAUUGGGCGUAAAGCGCGUGUAGGCGGUCCGGUAAGUCCGCUGUGAAAGUCGGGGGCUCAACCCUCGGAUGCCGGUGGACUACUGGUCGGGCUUGAGUACGGAAGAGGCGAGUGGAAUUCCUGGUGUAGCGGUGAAAUGCGCAGAUAUCAGGAGGAACACCAAUUGCGAAGGCAGCUCGCUGGGACGUUACUGACGCUGAGACGCGAAAGCGUGGGGAGCGAAC
rnacentral:rRNA from 1 species